AUGCCAGCUGUCGGUGUGUGUUUUCAGGGUGAUGCAGGUGGAGCACCGGGACCGAUAGGCCCCCCGGGUCUCAAGGGUGAACCUGGUGAGCCCUGCUCUGUCGGAAUUUGCAAUGGGGAGGAGGUCGUGUCUGGCCUUCGGGGGUUGCGGGGCCCUAAGGGUGAACGAGGUGUUCCUGGAGUACCUGGAGAUGCUGGAGAGAAAGGAGAACCUGGGAUUGGAAUCACUGGACCCCCUGUAAGUACCUGUUCAAGAAUUUUAACUUCACAAACACUCAGAUUGUCUUCAUUUAAAGGGAUAGUUCACACAAAACAAAAAAUUCUGUCAUUUACUCACUGUCAUGUUGUUUCAAACUUUCUUUUGUGGAACAUAAAAGCUGAAAUUUCAGUCUGUUCCUCACACAAUAAUAUGGUACAGCAUCAAAAGAGUUGAAAUAUAGUGUACAAGUCAAAUGAACAACUGUUAUGGUACUGUUUGUCAGAACUGGAGCUUGGCAAUGGCUUUGUUCUGUUCCACUGAGUCAUACAGGUUUGCAAUGGCAAUGCUUUUUCACACAGAUAUACACAGUCUGCAUUAUUGUUUCUUCAUCCCACAUACUUUCCACUGACAAACACAAAGUUCACACUAUAUAAAAGCAUUUCAAGUAGCUCUAUAUUUUAGCAUUUAUAAUUGUUUUGUAUAUCAGACUGAAAACAAUAUUUAUAGGACAAGUGACAUUAUUAAUAGAAAAUUAAUUCAUUUAUUUAUUGACUUAUUUGUUAAUUUAUUUUCUGUAGGGUCUGAUGGGAACUAAAGGCGAACCAGGAAUUCAGGUAAAAGAUAAAUUAACAUCCAGAAAUCAACAAAUUACAUGUCGACCAAGCAUGUAAAUGAGAUAUCAUUAAUGUACUGUAGGUUGGGAGAAAAUAUUCAUUCACCGAUGCAUCGCGAUUCUACGCUUGGUUUUUCCCACAUAUGGGACGUGUGUGCGCUAGACUAGAGACAAUCACGGCGGGCUUCAUUGCACAGGAUAUGUGCUGUGAGACACGUGCACAUUGCUUGACAUUAGUGUGUGCUUCCACCCGCCGUUAUUUCAGUGUUUUACUUUAGAUAUGCUUUCAUUUAUGCGGUUUUGAAUGCAGUAUGUAUUAGAUGCAGGAAACUUGCGUACUGACAGACUUUCACAUGCACUUUGUUUUUGUUUGUCCUGAAGCUUGAUCGCGGCUGCGGUUAAAUGCACUUGCAUCUCCGAAUACUUUUAUGAUACAAAAUUGAUGUAAACACAGUCAGGCAUGUUUUCAGAACAGGACAAAACAUCUGAUUUGUUGAAAUAGAUCUGUGCAUUAGUGUGAAUGCAGCCUAUUAAAGCUGCCACUGUCUAUGAUGGAAAAAGAAAAACCCAUAACUAUGAUUGCCUGUAAGCUUUCGAAUACUUAAAGCACUCUUAGAUACUGAAAGUACUUUUUGUUUAUCACUUGUUAUUGUCUUCCCCCCCUUUAUUACUUUAUGUUUGCUUGUGUUUUGAAUCUAUAUUUAGUUAUAUUUAUAUUUAGUUGAUUACCAAUUUAGUUGAUUGAUAAAUUUGAAUUUGAUAUAAAA
ensembl:lncRNA